AACGAACGCUGGCGGCAUGCCUAACACAUGCAAGUCGAACGAGACCUUCGGGUCUAGUGGCGCACGGGUGCGUAACGCGUGGGAACCUGCCCUUAGGUUCGGAAUAACUCCCCGAAAGGGGUGCUAAUACCGGAUAAUGUCUUCGGACCAAAGAUUUAUCGCCUUUGGAUGGGCCCGCGUUGGAUUAGCUAGUUGGUAGGGUAAAAGCCUACCAAGGCGACGAUCCAUAGCUGGUCUGAGAGGAUGAUCAGCCACACUGGGACUGAGACACGGCCCAGACUCCUACGGGAGGCAGCAGUGGGGAAUAUUGGACAAUGGGCGAAAGCCUGAUCCAGCAAUGCCGCGUGAGUGAUGGAGGCCUCAGGGUUGUAAAGCUCUUUUACCCGGGAUGAUAAUGACAGUACCGGGAGAAUAAGCUCCGGCUAACUCCGUG
rnacentral:rRNA from 1 species